AAGCCACCGCUGGGUGCCCAGCUUGGUGCCAGCAACACAAGGGGCGCCUGAGAGAAGAGGGGUUGACCUGCCUUCCAGGACCCUGUUCUCUGUCUGGAGGGACAGGAUUUAUAGUUGGAAGGUACAGGAGGAGUCAUCUCUUCCAAGAGUCUCAUUUAAAAAUGAAGAAACCGAGGCCCAGCGAUGGGAAGUGAUUGGAAGGACACCAUGACUAGGAGAGCCCUCGCUCACUGAGCAUCUUCUCAAGUCUCUUUCACUGAGAGGGGUGAGACCCCAGAACGUUCUGAAAACUUGGAACCUAAAAAGAAGAAAUACAUUGCUCCAGGAUACAAUGAGUGCUUCCAACGUAGUCAAGAAAGACAAGUUAAUGUAUAAAACCAUCAAAUAAACACAGUAUGUACAUUGCUUCUCCAAAAGAGACAGGAGAGGUUACGGAGAAGGGACUCCUGGCCAAUACACACCUAAUGCCUGCCAGCAUUGUAGCCUGGAGAAGUCUAAUGUCUGGGGGCUUCAGCAAGAGUGGACUUGAUCAGGAGAGGACUUUAUCCAGGAUGACUGCUGGUCAAAGGGUGGGGAUGAAGAAUACCAGUAGGUGGCUUUAGUGGCCUGAGACUUGGUUCCCUUGGAAGUUCAAGAGAGGGAUACUGCUGCAAGUAAUGUCAUCCACACCUUGCCUCCCCAGGUCGGAGCUACUGUCUAUGCAACACUCAGAGAUUACCAGACACUUUACCUACAUUGGCAUUUGGUCAACUCAACAACCUUCUGAGGUAGAAAAUAUUAUUUCCAUUUUACCUGUAAGGACUGACAUUUAGUUAAGUGAAUUGCCCAGGACAACACAGACAGUGGCAGAGCCGAGACUUGCACCCAGGGCUUCUGACUCCAAAUCCUUACACUAUUUCACACUGUUCAAUGGCGUAGGCCCCUCCAGACAUGGUGCGGAGUAAUUUGAACAAAGUCCUGCUUCGACUCCGAGAAUGGAGUAGUAGUUCUCUUAAGCUCUGACCCCCUUUGAUGCCUGGGGUUUGUCUCCACAGUUGCUUAGGCCAGGUCUCUGAGAAGACUACCCCUACUGUAACUGCUCCUGAUUAUCACCCACGAGAGGUCCUGCUUCCUGAGGGAGAUGCCCCUGAGGAAUAUGAAAAGCCCGAAGCCUCAUUUUUUGGCAGGCCUUCGCUGGCUCUGGGCAGCUAGCUGUCCAUGAGGAAGGAGCGCUACAGUGCCUCUAGCCAGCCAGCUCUCACUUGUUGAGUUUCUGUUGGUAUGCAUCCUCUGCGGGAUCCAACCAUAUUAAAUUGCUUCAAGCAGCCUAUAAAAUAAAGACAAUUGCAAUGCCAUAAGGAAUAGCAUAUCCCCAACCAUAAAUAAAUUAGGGCUCUAAUUCCAUCAAGGCCUGUGGGUGACAUCACACACCGUG
rnacentral:lncRNA from 1 species